rnacentral:rRNA from 1 species
AUGAACGCUGGCGGCGUGCCUAACACAUGCAAGUCGAGCGAUUCUCUUCGGAGAAGAGCGGCGGACGGGUGAGUAACGCGUGGGUAACCUGCCCUGUACACACGGAUAACAUACCGAAAGGUAUGCUAAUACGAGAUAAUAUGCUUUUAUCGCAUGGUAGAAGUAUCAAAGCUUUUGCGGUACAGGAUGGACCCGCGUCUGAUUAGCUAGUUGGUAAGGUAACGGCUUACCAAGGCGACGAUCAGUAGCCGACCUGAGAGGGUGAUCGGCCACAUUGGAACUGAGACACGGUCCAAACUCCUACGGGAGGCAGCAGUGGGGAGUAUUGCACAAUGGGCGAAAGCCUGAUGCAGCAACGCCGCGUGAGCGAUGAAGGCCUUCGGGUCGUAAAGCUCUGUCCUCAAGGAAGAUAAUGACGGUACUUGAGGAGGAAGCCCCGGCUAACUACGUGCCAGCGGCCGCGGUAAUACGUAGGGGGCUAGCGUUAUCCGGAAUUACUGGGCGUAAAGGGUGCGUAGGUGGUUUCUUAAGUCAGAGGUGAAAGGCUACGGCUCAACCGUAGUAAGCCUUUGAAACUGGGAAACUUGAGUGCAGGAGAGGAGAGUGGAAUUCCUAGUGUAGCGGUGAAAUGCGUAGAUAUUAGGAGGAACACCAGUUGCGAAGGCGGCUCUCUGGACUGUAACUGACACUGAGGCACGAAAGCGUGGGGAGCAAACAGGAUUAGAUACCCUGGUAGUCCACGCCGUAAACGAUGAGUACUAGCUGUCGGAGGUUACCCCCUUCGGUGGCGCAGCUAACGCAUUAAGUACUCCGCCUGGGAAGUACGCUCGCAAGAGUGAAACUCAAAGGAAUUGACGG